AUGGACGCCGUCGACUCCGUGGUGGACCCCCUCCGCGAGUUCGCCAAGGACAGCGUCCGCCUCGUCAAGCGCUGCCACAAGCCCGACCGCAAGGAGUUCACCAAGGUGGCGGCGCGGACGGCGAUCGGGUUCGUCGUCAUGGGGUUCGUCGGCUUCUUCGUCAAGCUCAUCUUCAUCCCCAUCAACAACAUCAUCGUCGGCUCCGGCUAG
rnacentral:rRNA from 1 species